AAAGAAUCAAACAAAGGACCUUGUACAUGUUUUGUAGGGAGUGACGUUUUAUCAGAAGAUGAACAUGCUGCGAAUGAAUGUGUGAUUAGCAAUUUCCCAUUACAUAACUUUCGCCAUUGUCGAGAUUGUCC